rnacentral:rRNA from 1 species
GCCAAGAGCAUGGCUGGUUGGCUACGUUCGGAAGGGAUAACCGCUGAAAGCAUCUAAGCGGGAAGCUCGCUUCGAGAUGAGGUCUCCCACAGGGUAGCCUGGUAAGGCCCCCGACUAGAUGAUCGGGUUGAUAGGCCGGAGGUGGAAGUGCGGCAACGCAUGGAGCUGACCGGUACUAAUAGGCCGAGGGCUUGACCACAA